rnacentral:lncRNA from 1 species
UUCCUGAAAUAAUAUGAACAACGGGUGCUUAUUUUUAAACCACAGUAAAAGCUAAAACCCAGUUUGUUUUUGUUCUUUGUGGCUCCCUUUAGGAAGACUGAUGUGAAUUUAUAUGAGGCCAAACCUGCACAUUCAUUCUUGCUCUAUUCCCAGCACAGGCUGUUUGGGAAGCAAGAAGCCAUGUCUCUCUGACACAUGCUGGCAGGGAAGGAGAAAAAUCCCCCUCUGCCCCAAACAAGCAAAACUGAAACCAAUCAAUGUUUGCCACUAAACAUACUUAAAGAUUUAGCAAUAAGCUGAUUCCAUGCCGCUGGUGGAAGACGGAGGAAUGCUUGAGGGAACGUUUAUUGCAUGCUGAAUCCAGAGCUGGAAACCAGAGAAUUCUGCCCAGGCCCUUUGCAGUGUCCUAGGGCACGCUUACUUCCAGGCUUUAGGAGUGAGAGUUCACUGGCUUAAGUGAGGAGUACACAGGACCUGCACAUCUGACCUCUCUCAAGGACUAGGCAUUGAGCUGGGAGAUAGGAAGAUCAACAGGAUCAGAGCUUUGCCUUCAAGGAGCCACACAAAAGGGAGUGGGUCCAUUCUGUUCUGCAUCAGUAGAAACCAUACCUGUUUGCCAUUGUGAGUUACAGAUGACAGAAUGGUCCUCAGUGUCUUGAAGCCCAUUGCGAUGUCCAAUAGAACACAACAGUUCCCUAUUCUCCAGAGACCACCCAAGUUGGUGAUAAGGAAAUGGAGACCUCCUACUAUUCACUGACCUCUCA